rnacentral:tRNA from 1 species
ACCUGCCAGGCUCAGUUGGAAGAGCAUGUGACUCUUGAUCUCAGGGUCGUGGGUUUGAGUCCCACAAUGGGUG